rnacentral:sRNA from 1 species
CUGGUGGUCCUGGAGAUUGAAGGCCUGUAUCCACCACACAGUAAGCAGCAGGGUGUAUUUCCCCCUCACCGCCUCCCACCAGUGUGCCUCAUCCUGCCCUGGAGGGGCCAUUUCUUGUGAGAGGGGAGUUCCGUUUCCAUGGAUCAUCAGUUCUUGGCCUCU